rnacentral:rRNA from 1 species
CUGGCUCAGAUUGAACGCUGGCGGCAUGCUUUACACAUGCAAGUCGAACGGUAACAGGGAGCUUGCUCCGCUGACGAGUGGCGAACGGGUGAGUAAUAUAUCGGAACGUACCCAAGAGUGGGGGAUAACGUAGCGAAAGUUACGCUAAUACCGCAU